rnacentral:rRNA from 2 species
GUCUCAAAGAUUAAGCCAUGCAUGUCUAAGUAUAAGCAAUCUAUACCGUGAAACUGCGAAUGGCUCAUUAAAUCAGUUAUCGUUUAUUUGAUAGUACCUUACUACUUGGAUAACCGUGGUAAUUCUAGAGCUAAUACAUGCUAAAAACCUCGACUUCGGAAGGGGUGUAUUUAUUAGAUAAAAAACCAAUGC